rnacentral:rRNA from 1 species
GAUGAACGCUGACAGAAUGCUUAACACAUGCAAGUCUUUGGCGAAGCUGUGCUUGCACAGCCUAGCCAAGGCGGACGGGUGAGUAACGCGUCAGGAACUUGCCCUGCAGUCAGGGAUAACAGACGGAAACGACUGAUAAGACCUGGUAAAGUCAGGCGGACUCAUGUCCAGCCUGAUGAAAAGAGAUGCUGCAGGAGAGCCUUGCGUCCUAUUAGCUUGUUGGUGGGGUAACGGCCCACCAAGGCGAUGAUAGGUAGCCGGCCUGAGAGGGUGGACGGCCACAAGGGGACUGAGAUACGGCCCUUACUCCUACGGGAGGCAGCAGCGGGGAAUAUUGGACAAUGGGGGCAACCCUGAUCCAGCAAUUCUGUGUGCACGAUGAAGGUUUUCGGAUUGUAAAGUGCUUUCAGCAGGGAAGAAAAAAAUGACGGUACCUGCAGAAGAAGCGACGGCUAAAUACGUG